rnacentral:rRNA from 1 species
UGCCCCAUAGUCUGGGAUACCACUUGGAAACAGGUGCUAAUACCGGAUAAGAAAGCGGAUCGCAUGAUCAGCUUUUAAAAGGCGGCGUAAGCUGUCGCUAUGGGAUGGCCCCGCGGUGCAUUAGCUAGUUGGUAAGGUAAAGGCUUACCAAGGCGAUGAUGCAUAGCCGAGUUGAGAGACUGAUCGGCCACAUUGGGACUGAGACACGGCCCAAACUCCUACGGGAGGCAGCAGA